CGAAAAUAGAGUUGCAGGGUGGUGUCUCCUGCGCCUGACAAAGGUUCUUCCCAGCCACGG
rnacentral:ncRNA from 1 species